rnacentral:rRNA from 1 species
CACGUAGGGUGCGAGCGUUGUCCGGAAUUAUUGGGCGUAAAGAGCUCGUAGGCGGUGUGUCGCGUCGGCCGUGAAAACCUGCAGCUUAACUGUGGGCUUGCGGUCGAUACGGGCAUCACUGGAGUUCGGCAGGGGAGACUGGAAUUCCUGGUGUAGCGGUGAAAUGCGCAGAUAUCAGGAGGAACACCAGUGGCGAAGGCGGCGAUCUGGGAAGAUACUGACGCUGAGGCGCGAAAGCGUGGGUAGCAAACAGG